rnacentral:rRNA from 1 species
CGAUCGGGUCUCCGUUGGUGACCAGCGGAGGGAUCAUUAAAGAGUUGCAAAACUCCCACAAACCAUCGCGAACCGUACCGAUUCACCGUUGCUUCGGCGGGUUCGCCCGCCGAAGUAGCGAUCCCCAAACUCUUUAUAAUUAUUUGGCCUCUCUGAGUAAGAUUUAUAAAUAAGUCAAAACUUUCAACAACGGAUCUCUUGGUUCUGGCAUCGAUGAAGAACGCAGCGAAAUGCGAUAAGUAAUGUGAAUUGCAGAAUUCAGUGAAUCAUCGAAUCUUUGAACGCACAUUGCGCCCGCUAGUAUUCUGGCGGGCAUGCCUGUUCGAGCGUCAUUUCAACCAUCAAGCCCUCUCGCUUGUGUUGGGGUCCUGCGGCUACCCGCAGGCCCUGAAAACCAGUGGCGGGCUCGCUAGUCACUCCGAGCGCAGUAAUACAUUCUCGCUCAGGGCGUGCGGCGGGUUCUUGCCGUUAAACCACCACUUUUAUACCAAAGGUUGACCUCGGAUCAGGUAGGAAUACCCGCUGAACUUAAGCAUAUCUAACGG